AAGAUCAUACUUCACAGGAUCAUUUCUGUAGUAUGCAUCGUCCCCUCCAGGUGCAAAUCUGGAGUCGUCAUCAGCCACGAUGAUGAGACUUGUCCAUGUGUACCAGAGCGUGAGGCUGCUGGUGGUCUGCUGUUCGCAGUUAAGACCAUUCAGCGACGAUGAUCGCAACCAGUUCUACUGGAAGGUUUGUGGUCAGUCUGAGUGGU